AUUGAACGCUGGCGGCAGGCCUAACACAUGCAAGUCGAGCGAAGCGGGGACGGGUGAGUAACACGUGGAUAACCUCCUCUAAGACUGGGAUAACUUCGGGAAACCGGAGCUAAACCGGAUACUUAUCGAUGGAUCCGCGCUGCAUUAGCUAGUUGGUAAGGUAACGGCUUACCAAGGCAACGAGUCAUAGCAGACCUGAGAGGGUGAUCGGCCACACUGGAACUGAGACACGGUCCAGACGCCUACGGGAGGCAGCAGUAGGGAAUCUCCCGCAAUGGGCGAAAGCCUGACGGAGCAACGCCGCGUGAUUGAUGAAUGUCUUCGGAUCGUAAUACUCUGUUAUUAGGGAAGCGGUACCUAAUCAGAAAGCCACGGCUAACUACGUGCCAGCAGCCGCGGUAAUAC
rnacentral:rRNA from 1 species